rnacentral:misc_RNA from 1 species
UGGUUUCCUGUGUUGCAUACCUACGUAGACGGAAUUGUGUUGGCCAAUCCUUCCCACGUUCGCCUAGCGCUGCCCGUUCGCACGGCGCGGCUACGGGUGAACCCCGAAGCGAGACCCGUGUUCCGCGACGUCCGCGCAUCGCGUCGUCGUCGUCGCGGCCCUCGGGUUCCCGCUCGACCUCUGGGAUGCGGAAAACGCUACGGGCACGGGGUCCCCGACCCCUUUUUGCCCACGAAAUUGGCGUCACACGCCACGUUCGAACGACGUUCGGCGCCGCACUGACGUGAC